rnacentral:rRNA from 1 species
CCUUACCUAAGCUUGACAUCCCAAUGACAUCUCCUUAAUCGGAGAGUUCCCUUCGGGGACAUUGGUGACAGGUGGUGCAUGGUUGUCGUCAGCUCGUGUCGUGAGAUGUUGGGUUAAGUCCCGCAACGAGCGCAACCCUUGUCUUUAGUUGCCAUCAUUAAGUUGGGCCCUCGAGAGAGACGUCCAGGGAUAACCUGGAGGAAGGUGGGGAUGACGUCAAAUCAUCAUGCCCCUUAUGCUUAGGGCUACACACGGGCUACAAUGGGUAGUACAGAGGGUUGCCAAGCCGUAAGGCGGAGCUAAUCCCUUAAAGCUACUCUCAGUUCGGAUUGUAGGCUGAAACUCGCCUACAUGAAGCUGGAGUUACUAGUAAUCGCAGAUCAGAAUGCUGCGGUGAAUGCGUUCCCGGGUCUUGUACACACCGCCCGUCACACCACGGGAGUUGGAGAUGCCCGAAGCCGAUUAUCUAACCUUUUGGAAGAAGUCGUCGAAGGUGGAAUUAAUAACUGGGGUGAAGUCGUAACAAGGUAGCCGUAUCGGAAGGUGCGGCUGGAUCACCUCCUUUCUAAGGA